rnacentral:rRNA from 1 species
UUCGUAGGGUCCGAGCGUUGUCCGGAAUUACUGGGCGUAAAGAGCUCGUAGGUGGUUUGUCGCGUUGUCCGUGAAAACUCACAGCUCAACUGUGGGCGUGCGGGCGAUACGGGCGGACUGGAGUACUGCAGGGGAGACUGGAAUUCCUGGUGUAGCGGUGGAAUGCGCAGAUAUCAGGAGGAACACCGGUGGCGAAGGCGGGUCUCUGGGCAGUAACUGACGCUGAGGAGCGAAAGCGUGGGGAGCGAACAGG